UACGUAGGGUCCGAGCGUUGUCCGGACUUACUGGGCGUAAAGCGUGCGCAGGCGGCCCGCGAGGUGUCACGUGAAAGCCCCGGGCUCAACCCGGGAGGGUCGUGGCAAACCGGCGGGCUUGAGGCCGGUAGAGGUGGGUGGAACUCCUGGUGGAGUGGUGAAAUGCGUAGAGAUCCGGAAGAACACCGGUGGCGAAGGCGGCCUGCUGGGCAGUAGCUGACACUGAGGCGCGACAGCGUGGGGAGCAAACAGG
rnacentral:rRNA from 1 species